rnacentral:rRNA from 1 species
UACGGAGGGUGCAAACGUUGCUCGGAAUCAUUGGGCGUAAAGCGCGCGUAGGCUGCCGGACAAGUUGGAUGUGAAAGCCCUGGGCUCAACCCGGGAUGUGCAUUCAAAACUGUCUGGCUUGAAUCUCGGAGGGGGUCAGGGAAUUCUCGGUGUAGAGGUGAAAUUCGUAGAUAUCGGGAGGAACACCAGUGGCGAAGGCGCUGACCUGGACGAUGAUUGACGCUGAGGCGCGAAAGCGUGGGGAGCAAAC